UCUCCGUAGGUGAACCUGCGGAGGGAUCAUUACCGAGUGAGGGCUAACCGCCCGACCUCCAACCCUCUGUGAACACAAACUCGUUGCUUCGGGGGCGACCCUGCCGUUUCGGCGCGGCGCCCCCGGAGGACACUUAACACUGCAUCAAUGCGUCGGAGUACUUUGUUAAUAAAACAAAACUUUCAACAACGGAUCUCUUGGUUCUGGCAUCGAUGAAGAACGCAGC
rnacentral:misc_RNA from 1 species